GUGUUUUAGAAAGGAGAGAUGUUUGACACCUCCCCUGAUGGGGAGGGACCCCUGUCUGCCAGCCCACAACUUUAGGAUAAACUAAUCUAUAGAUUUUGCUUAAAAAAAUUUCA
rnacentral:ncRNA from 1 species